rnacentral:rRNA from 1 species
CAGUCGCCACGGUAAUACGAAGGGUGCAAGCGUUACUCGGAAUUACUGGGCGUAAAGCGUGCGUAGGUGGUGGUUUAAGUCCGUUGUGAAAGCCCUGGGCUCAACCUGGGAAUUGCAGUGGAUACUGGGUCACUGGAGUGUGGUAGAGGAUAGUGGAAUUUCCGGUGUAGCAGUGAAAUGCGUAGAGAUCGGAAGGAACAUCUGUGGCGAAGGCGGCUAACUGGUCCAUAACUGACGCUGAGGUGCGAAAGCGUGGGGAGCAAACAGGAUUAGAUACCCCUGUAGUCCCUGUCUCUUAUAC